AAAAUUGAAGUUAGGGGUGCUUGUGUGGUAGCUGACUAGGAUGAAAAUUUUUAAUUGUGGAACUCACAUAUAUGGGUACACUAUUAUCUAAAAAAUAAUAUUUUAAUUGCAAUUAUAUGGACCCCACAAUUUAUAGCAAAAAUAGACAUGAGAAGCCUUUCUAUUAUUUUUCCUUCACAAAAUCUAAAUUGCAUUAGUGGGAUUAUGCCUAGCACUUCUUUUUCCAUACAAGAAUGGGUAGCAUGAUGCCUCCAAGCCAACAAGUCAUUUUCAAUCAACUAUGAAAUUCCCUUGAUAAUUCAAGCUAACUCCCAAAUGGCUAGUCCAAUUACAACUCAGUAAAAUUCCUAUGAUAAUUCAAUAUGAAUCCUUUUCUUCCAUUCCACUUUGUAUGAUUGACUUAGCUUAUGUAAAGGCAAUAGUUGUAUACCACAAUAUGCUAUCUUUUAUCGUUGUUGUCAAGAUCCAAGAUCCAUUCGUAAGAAACUUCCCAAGCAAAGAAUACAGUAUUGGAUGGUGCGAUUCUUCCAACAUGACUUCCACGGGAAAUUUGGGCCUUGUUUAGUCGGGGAAAACAUUUUCUUUUUUCAUUUUUCUUCUCUAUUUUCCAAUUUUCAAUUAUUCCUUCUCCCAAGUAAAAAUUUAGUGAACUAGAAAACAUGUUCUUUUGUCCAAU
rnacentral:misc_RNA from 1 species